rnacentral:SRP_RNA from 1 species
UCAAAGGGGAAUUCAGCAAAUGCAAUGGAACAUGCCUAUAGUCCCAGGAGUUCUGGGCUGUAGAGCAUUAUGCUGAUCAGAUGUCCAAACUAAAUUCAGCAUCAACAUGGUGACCUUGUGGGGAGCUGGAGGACCACCAGGUUGCCUCAGGAGGCAUGAAGUGGUCCAGGUUGCAAUUGGAGCAGAACAAAAUUCCCAUACUGAUCACUACCGGGAUCAUGCUUGCGAAUAGCAAUUGCACUCAAAUCCUGGAAGCACAGCAAGACCU